CUACGGAGGGUGCAAGCGUUGUUCGGAAUCACUGGGCGUAAAGGGCGCGCAGGCGGUUUGGUAAGUCAGAUGUGAAAGCCCACGGCUCAACCGUGGAAGUGCAUUUGAAACCGCCAGACUUGAGUACCAGAGGGGAAAGUGGAAUUCCCGGUGUAGAGGUGAAAUUCGUAGAUAUCGGGAGGAAUACCGGUGGCGAAGGCGACUUUCUGGCUGGAUACUGACGCUGAGGCGCGAAAGCGUGGGGAGCAAACAGAAUUAGAUACCCGUGUAGUCC
rnacentral:rRNA from 1 species